rnacentral:ncRNA from 1 species
UCAGCGCCCGAGAACGGGCGACCGGACGAGGGGUGCCGUACCCGGAGCGCGACAAGACGGCCCGAG